rnacentral:misc_RNA from 1 species
GGAUAAAAGUCGUAACAAGGUUUCCGUAGGUGAACCUGCGGAAGGAUCAUUACCGAAUCCAAAACCCCUCAUCGUCCUUUUGUGCAUUUGUUUUUUUUGGUGUUUUUGUCUUUCAUCGGACGAGACCCAGAAAAUUUUUCAACUCUUUUUUUAACACUUGAUACAACAACAGACCGAGUGGCUUCUGCCAGUUGGAAUGAAACAAACAAAAAUUCAUAUACAACUUUUAACGGUGGAUCUCUUGGCUCGU